rfam:Brassica oleracea var. oleracea cultivar TO1000 chromosome C8, whole genome shotgun sequence
UUGAAUCUCUCCCAGGCUUCACUGAAUCCUUCCAAGUUCUUCUGUUGAAAGCUGGAAAUCUCAUUUC